GCCUGGCUGGCUCAGUUGGAAGAGCAUGAGACUCUUGAUUUUGGGGUUGUGAGUUCAAGCCCCAUGUUGGGUG
rnacentral:tRNA from 1 species